UUAAACAGAUUCUGCCUCUGAAAGCUUUUCGACAUGAUCAGCAUCGCUCUUUAGAAGCUCUUGCUCUUUCAAAUUUUGAGCAUUUGCAACUCUAACGUCAUUUUGUUGGACCAAAGUUGCCCUGACUUGAGCCAAGAAUGCUUGAUCAACGGAUGCCUUUCUUGGGUUUGGAGCUUCAAAGACAGCUUCUAAUUCUUCUAAGCUUCUACCCUUAGUUUCAACGAAGAAGAAGUAGAUAACAAUAAAUUCGAAAAUAUCGAAGAAAACGUAGAACACAUAGAACCAAUAUUUGAUAUUCUUCAUUGCCUUUGGAGCAGCAAAUUGAUUAACAAAUUGGGCAGCACCAGAAACCACACCGUUGAGGAGUUGGGCCUUAGAUCUCAUCAAGUUUGUAGACACUUCUGUUGAGUACAUGGAUUGCAUUGGAGUGAAAGCAAAAGAAAAGAUAACACCAAAGAGAUAAAUGAACACCAAUGCACCAUUGGAAGCACUCUUCUUCUUAGUCUUCUCAUAACGAGCGGUACAGAUAGAUAGACCUGUCAAUGCUAAUGCAGCACCUGAGAUAGAACCAAGGAAACCUUCCCUUCUACCAAUCUUAUCAAUAAAGAAUGCACCGCAAAUUGAAGAAAUCCAAGAGACGAUGGAAUAAACACCAUUCAUUAACACAUUCAAUGAGACACUCUUCAUACCAACAUUUCUCAACAUGGUAGGCAAAUAGUACGAACACACAUUGUUACCGGAAAAUUGACCGAACCAAGCCAUAAGUAUAACCAACAUUGCUCUGUACCUAUCCGAUCUCGUUCUGAAUAAGAUCCUUACAUCUAACAUUUCUAGAGGGUUUGAUAAAUCUGUACCAUGGAAAGAUUCUAUUAUUUCUGCCAUCUCCAUAUCCAAUAAUGGAUGAGUUCUAUCGCCAUUUAAGUGGUAUUUGAUAAUGAAUUCACGAGCUUCUUCCUCACGGCCAACACCAACCAACCAUCUUGGAGAUUCUGGGAUUAACCAACCAAAUAUACACACAAGACCUGGGAACAUCAUUUGUAAGUAUAAUGGAAUCUUAAAAGCCUUGGAGGAGUUAGGGAAGUUUUUGUUGGUACCGUAAGUGGUAAAGGCAGCAACAAUAGAACCGACAUACCAAAGGGUGUUAUAAAGACCUGCAACCUUACCUCUUAAGUGAGCUGGAGCCACUUCUGCACAGUAUGUUGGAGCUGCUGAAUUAGCGAUUGUAGCGAAAAAGGCCAAGAACCAUCUACCACCAAUUAAUGCACUCUUUGUUGUUGUUACAGACGUAAUAAUAGCACCAAUAACAACACCUAGACACCCAAUUAAAAUAGCAGGUUUUCUACCUUUCCAAUCCAUAAGAGGAACAAAGAAUGCACCGCAAAUUUGACCAACGUUGAAAAUAGAGAACACUAGACCAGUACCAGUGGAUGAGUUAAUAUCCAAAUGGUAGUAUUUCAAAUAUGCCUUUUCGGUAUAGAUAGAACCCAUUAAAGACCCAUCAUAACCUUGCAUAGUAGCACACAGAUAUGUUACAAAACAUAAACCGUACAAUUUGUAAUAUUGCUUCGACAAGUAACCUGGUAAGAGCACUUCCUCUCUAGCGUCCUCUACGGGGACACCGUUGAUUUUCAAUCCAGAAGUAUUAUCAUUAUCACUGUUCAAGGCUUCCUUGUGAUCCAGAUCACUGCCCAAAGUUUCUUUAUGUUCGAUAGUAUUAAUUGGCUUCUUCUGCAGCGAAGAUGAGCUGCUCGAAUGAUCUGCCAU
rnacentral:tRNA from 1 species